rnacentral:rRNA from 1 species
GACGAACGCUGGCGGCGUGCUUAACACAUGCAAGUCGAACGGAAAUGCCCUGCUUUUGUGGGGUGCUCGAGUGGCGAACGGGUGAGUAACACUUGAGUAACCUGCCCUUGACUUUGGGAUAACUUCAGGAAACUGGGGCUAAUACCGGAUAGGAGCUCCUGCUGCAUGGUGGGGGUUGGAAAGUUUCGGCGGUUGGGGAUGGACUCGCGGCUUAUCAGCUUGUUGGUGGGGUAGUGGCUUACCAAGGCUUUGACGGGUAGCCGGCCUGAGAGGGUGACCGGCCACAUUGGGACUGAGAUACGGCCCAGACUCCUACGGGAGGCAGCAGUGGGGAAUAUUGCACAAUGGGCGGAAGCCUGAUGCAGCAACGCCGCGUGCGGGAUGACGGCCUUAGGGUUGUAAACCGCUUUCGCCUGUGACGAAGCGUGAGUGACGGUAAUGGGUAAAGAAGCACCGGCUAACUACGUG